GUUGCAUUUGUUAAAAAUGCAGACUUCCAGCCACACCUCAGACCCACUGAAUCAGGGUUGGGCUGGGGAAAUCUGCAUUUUAAAUUAGCUCUCCACGGAACUUCUUAGGCCAACUAAAUACAACCAACGCUUUAAAGGAAAUGACCCACUUACAGAAAGACACACUGUGGAGGAGCAGCUGGGCAUAAUUAUGGAGCAGCCUUGUUUUCAUGGCCUUGCCUGAUGCUGGUGUUGUUUGAAAUCGCACGUGCUUAACAGAAGAACGCCAAGGCCUGGCUGCGAGUGCCGGGGCAGCUCUCGCAUGUCCGGGGCCGUCCUUCUCUUCCUCAUGGACGAACUGGAAUGUGGUUGUGAUGGCUCGAGCAGUUCAGCUGGCACAUGAGGUGAUCUUGGGAAUAGAAACUACAACAGCCCUGGACCACCUCAGCUCCAGACCUUCACGUGAGAGAGAAACAAAAGACUACCUUGUUUAAGCCAUUGUUAUUUGGGGUCUUUUACUCCUAGCCAAAGUUAUUUCUAACUGAUACAGGAAGCUAAUGGUCAGUCC
rnacentral:lncRNA from 1 species